rnacentral:rRNA from 1 species
GAUGAACGCUGGCGGCGUGCUUAACACAUGCAAGUCGAACGGAAAGGCCCAAGCUUGCUUGGGUACUCGAGUGGCGAACGGGUGAGUAACACGUGGGUGAUCUGCCCUGCACUUCGGGAUAAGCCUGGGAAACUGGGUCUAAUACUGGAUAGGACCACUUCUUGGAUGUUGUGGUGGAAAGUUUUUUCGGUGUGGGAUGAGCUCGCGGCCUAUCAGCUUGUUGGUGGGGUAAUGGCCUACCAAGGCGUCGACGGGUAGCCGGCCUGAGAGGGUGUACGGCCACAUUGGGACUGAGAUACGGCUCAGACGCCUACGGGAGGCAGCAGUGGGGAAUAUUGCACAAUGGGCGCAAGCCUGAUGCAGCGACGCCGCGUGGGGGAUGACGGCCUUCGGGUUGUAAACUCCUUUCGCUAGGGACGAAGCGUUUUGUGACGGUACCUGGAGAAGAAGCACCGGCUAACUACGUG